UACGUAGGGUGCAAGCGUUAAUCGGAAUUACUGGGCGUAAAGCGUGCGCAGGCGGUUUUGUAAGUCUGUCGUGAAAUCCCCGGGCUCAACCUGGGAAUUGCGAUGGAGACUGCAAGGCUAGAAUCUGGCAGAGGGGGGUAGAAUUCCACGUGUAGCAGUGAAAUGCGUAGAGAUGUGGAGGAACACCGAUGGCGAAGGCAGCCCCCUGGGUCAAGAUUGACGCUCAUGCACGAAAGCGUGGGGAGCAAACGAGGAUUACGAAACCGUAG
rnacentral:rRNA from 1 species